GCCUAGGUGGCUCAGUAGGUUAAGCAUCUGACUUCGGUUCAGGUCACGAUCUCACUGCUUGUGAGUUCGAGCCCCACAUUGGGCU
rnacentral:tRNA from 1 species